CCUACGGGUGGCAGCAGUGGGGAAUAUUGGGCAAUGGAGGCAACUCUGACCCAGCAACGCCGCGUGAAUGAUGAAGGUCUUCGGAUUGUAAAGUUCUGUUAUAAGGGAAGAAGAAAGUGACGGUACACUAGGAAUAAGACGCGGCUAACUACGCGCCAGCAGCCGCGGUAAUACGUAGGAGGAAAGGGUUAUACGGAAUGACUGGACGUAAAGGGCGCGUAGGUUGUUUGAAAAGUUAGAAGCGCAACUCCGGGGCUCAACCUCGGAACGACUACGGAAACGGUUUGACUUGAGUGCAGGAGGGGAAAGUGGAAUUCCUAGUGUAGCGGUGGAAUGCGUAGAGAUUAGGAGGAACACCAGUGGCGAAGGCGGCUUUCUAGACUGUAACUGACGCUGAUGCACGAAAGCGUGGGGAGCAAACAGGAUUAGAUACCCUUGUAGUC
rnacentral:rRNA from 1 species